rnacentral:rRNA from 1 species
UACGGAGGGUGCAAGCGUUAUCCGGAUUCACUGGGUUUAAAGGGUGCGUAGGUGGGCAAGUAAGUCAGUGGUGAAAUCUCCGGGCUUAACCCGGAAACUGCCAUUGAUACUAUUUGUCUUGAAUACUGUGGAGGUCGGCGGAAUAUGUCAUGUAGCGGUGAAAUGCUUAGAUAUGACAUAGAACACCAAUUGCGAAGGCAGCUGGCUACACAAAUAUUGACACUGAGGCACGAAAGCGUGGGGAUCAAACAGG